GUGGUACUUAGAGGUGGUCAGGUUGCAUCAGCCGUUAGCACUACUGAUCAUCAUGCUGGAAAUUUUGAAGCCAAAUUUUAUGAUAUGAUUCUUCAAGAAGAAUUUAGGGAUGUGAAAGGGCAUUCUGGACUGAUUAAUGUUAUGGCCUUUAUUCAGUUGUUGUUCAAUUUUCUUCUUUAUGAGUGUUUGAUGCAAUAAUAGCUCAUGGAUCUCUCACAAAACAAGGAGUAGAAGCAGGCAUUGAGAAAAAGCAUUGUAAGGGAACUUGCUGAUGAUUUGAGAGCUCAGAUCAAAAGGGGAUUAAAGUGCAGCCAAUUAUCCAUACAAAUUGUUUAGUGCGUAAUACUCAGGCAUUUGGAUAUUAUCAUGGAAGAAAGACCUGCAUUAUCUGACCCUGCCAGUGAUGGACAUGUUUUAGUGCAGUUUUAUGGAAAUAAUGUGCUUGGAUUGAUCAAAGUCACAGAUAUUUCAACCUUUGAGGAUACGAGUUCAAUCCUGGUCUUGCAGUCUGCUUUUGCAGCUAUAAGUUCAGGGUGUCAAGAAGUCUGUAGUUUAUAUAUACAUUUUGAUAGCAUUUAAUAUCUGAGUAAAGCCAUGCUAGAAGAGGGAGUAGAUAGAAUACCUCAUCCUCAACCUAAAAGGAAGAAAGAAGAGGGCAAAGAGAGGCUUAUUUUGACUAAUUUUAAUUUUGCUAAGAUGUUGCUCAGCAGUUUGUCUCCCAACUUCUGUAUUGGACCAUCAAAAAAGUGUUAUAGCAUGCAAUUUAACCACAGUUUUUAGAUGCAUCAUAUAUGCUGCUUAUCACCAUAUGCUGGAGUUGGAAAAGAUGAGAAACAUUACUUAUAAGUGUUUCUUAAUUAAUGUUCAAGACCCUUCGUUUAUUGUCUUGAUAAUUUUUGUAUCCAUGAGAUUGUGUUAAGGGAUUUUAAGACUUUUCCAGAUUUUUCAUGAAGAAUCUACAAAUUAGAAUAGGAUAAUCAAGGGUCCAAUCACUCUCAAGGCAUAAACAAUCUGUAUUAAAGCCAUAUUUUGAAAGGAUCAUCUAUGGUCUGUUUGUUUUUCUUAGCAUUUGCCUGACCUGCAAUCUAUUUGUGGAGCCAAGUUGUUGGGAGCAACUAAGAUAAUUUGGAUCGGCAAUAAUGAGAUGAAGAGAGAACGUAUAGUUCUUAUUUGAAUUUUUAUGGUUCUUAUUUUUUAUAUGACAGGGAUUGUUUACCAGGAAUGGACAUUAUGUGUCUUUCACUCUAAGGAGUUGCAAUGUCAAAAUAAAAUUUUGAUUUGUUAAGGGAAGAUAUGGUGACAAAGAAUGAAGCAGAUUGUAGAAAACUAAAGGCGUCGUGAAAGUCCUCAAAGUUUUGGGAACUGCAUAGAAGCUUCGAAGAAGGAUAGGCAGUAUCUUCGCUACCAAAUAGAAGUUGAGUGAAAGUUAAAAGAUUUAACAUUUUCCAGUGAAAAUGAGAUGCUUAAAGACACUGCAAUCUUCUCAAGAUCAUAAUUGUCAUCUCAAGUGUUGAUCUUCAAGUCAGUUUCUUCUGAAAACCAUGCUCAAAUUUGGUGUUAGAUUCCUUCUCUUGAAGGCUGCAUAUAAUGUUCCAUUUCUGAUGCGUAGAAAUACUAUACCCAAAUUGGAGCUUUCAUCUCCACCCAAAUCAAAUAUCAUUCAUUCCAAUCACCAAACGACAUGAUGGCCUUCUUGCUGGCUCUGAAACAACUGCAGACUUUACUUCCUCAAUGCAUUCUCUUCUUGUGAAUACAAUGGACCUCACUAAGCCUAAAAUUUAAGAAAUGAUGAUGGUGACCUUUCCAUUCAUUUAACAGCAAUGGUUCUAAACCAUAUAGGUACGCUACUGUUGGACAGAAUGACAAGACAAUCACAAUCCAAAUGCAACAAAUAACUACAUUUUUUUUUGCACUUAUCACAGCAACCUACUGCUCAAAGGAAUUUCAACCCUGCAAGAGAAUUGUAUUCAAUAUUGUGGUAUGGCUUUAGCACGAUGGAACUAACACAUGGAAAAAAAUACAACCUAAAAGCGCUCCUCCUUUUACGGCUCUUUUUGUUUUCACAGUCUAGAUCAUUAGAUGUGAAAGAAAAUAUUUGCAUUAUAAAAUGUAGCCCUGAAUCACUUAUCAAGCUCUUAAAGUACUAAAAAUUCAAAUUUGACAUCACUAUUUUAUUACUGUAGUCCUUUCCUAAUGAUACAUUGAUGAACGAGAAAGAGUAUCUAUGUCCUAAAAGUAAAAUUGGUUAUUGUUA